GACGAACGCUGGCGGCGUGCUUAACACAUGCAAGUCGAACGAUGAAGCCCAGCUUGCUGGGUGGAUUAGUGGCGAACGGGUGAGUAACACGUGGGUGAUCUGCCCUGCACUUCGGGAUAAGCCUGGGAAACUGGGUCUAAUACCGGAUAGGACCUUCUGCCGCAUGGUGGGGGGUGGAAAGGUCUUCCGGUGCAGGAUGGGCCCGCGGCCUAUCAGCUUGUUGGUGGGGUAACGGCCCACCAAGGCGACGACGGGUAGCCGGCCUGAGAGGGCGACCGGCCACACUGGGACUGAGACACGGCCCAGACUCCUACGGGAGGCAGCAGUGGGGAAUAUUGCACAAUGGGCGCAAGCCUGAUGCAGCGACGCCGCGUGAGGGAUGACGGCCUUCGGGUUGUAAACCUCUUUCAGUACCGACGAAGCGCAAGUGACGGUAGGUACAGAAGAAGCACCGGCCAACUACGUGCCAGCAGCCGCCGUAA
rnacentral:rRNA from 1 species